GACGAACGCUGGCGGCGUGCUUACACAUGCAAGUCGCACGGAAAGGCCCUGCUUUUGUGGGGUGCUCGAGUGGCGAACGGGUGAGUAACACGUGAGUAACCUGCCCUUGACUUUGGGAUAACUUCAGGAAACUGGGGCUAAUACCGGAUAGGAGCUCCUGCUGCAUGGUGGGGGUUGGAAAGUUUCGGCGGUUGGGGAUGGACUCGCGGCUUAUCAGCUUGUUGGUGGGGUAGUGGCUUACCAAGGCUUUGACGGGUAGCCGGCCUGAGAGGGUGACCGGCCACAUUGGGACUGAGAUACGGCCCAGACUCCUACGGGAGGCAGCAGUGGGGAAUAUUGCACAAUGGGCGGAAGCCUGAUGCAGCAACGCCGCGUGCGGGAUGACGGCCUUCGGGUUGUAAACCGCUUUCGCCUGUGACGAAGCGUGAGUGACGGUAAUGGGUAAAGAAGCACCGGCUAACUACGUG
rnacentral:rRNA from 1 species